UCCGGCGAUUAUAGCAUAGGGGCAACACCCGUUCCCAUUUCGAACACGGCAGUUAAGCCCUAUCGCGCCGAUGGUACUNCACGGGAAACCAGUGCGGGAGAGUAGGUCGUUGCCGGGA
rnacentral:rRNA from 1 species